AUUGAACGCUGGCGGAAUGCUUUACACAUGCAAGUCGAACGGCAGCACGGACUUCGGUCUGGUGGCGAGUGGCGAACGGGUGAGUAAUACAUCGGAACGUGCCCAAUCGUGGGGGAUAACGUAGCGAAAGCUACGCUAAUACCGCAUACGAUCUAAGGAUGAAAGCGGGGGAUCGCAAGACCUCGCGCGAUUGGAGCGGCCGAUGGCAGAUUAGGUAGUUGGUAGGGUAAAGGCCUACCAAGCCGACGAUCUGUAGCUGGUCUGAGAGGAUGAUCAGCCACACUGGGACUGAGACACGGCCCAUACUCCUACGGGAGGCAGCAGUGGGGAAUUUUGGACAAUGGACGCAAGUCUGAUCCAGCCAUUCCGCGUGCAGGAUGAAGGCCCUCGGGUUGUAAACUGCUUUUGUACGGAACGAAAAGGCUCUGGUUAAUACCUAGGGCUCAUGACGGUACUGUAAGAAUAAGCACCGGCCAACUACGUGCCAGCCGCCGCGGUAA
rnacentral:rRNA from 1 species